rnacentral:rRNA from 1 species
AUUAUAUACAAGCUUAGAUUUUAUUGGGGUGAUAAAAAUUUUUAUUUAACAAUUAUUUUAUUUGUCAGUGAUGUUUGAUUAAUUUUGAUCCAAUAAUUUUUGAUUAUUAGUUUAAGUUACUUUAGGGAUAACAGCGUAAUUUAAUUGGAGAGUUCUUAUUGAUAAUUUAAGUUUGCGACCUCGAUGUUGAAUUAAGAUAUGAUUUAGGAGUAGUUCUUUAUAUUUUUUGGUCUGUUCGACCAGUUUUUUCUUACAUGAUUUGAGUUUAGAUCGGCGUGAGCCAGAUUGGUUUCUAUCCUUAAUAUAUUUUAUUAUUUUUUAGUACGAGAGGACCAAAAAUUUAAUUAAUAUUUU